ACUAUCGUUAACUGAAUACAUAGGUUAACGAGGCGAACCGGGGGAACUGAAACAUCUAAGUACCCCGAGGAAAAGAAAUCAACCGAGAUUCCCCCAGUAGCGGCGAGCGAACGGGGAGCAGCCCAGAGUCUGAAUCAGCUUGUGUGUUAGUGGAACGGUCUGGAAAGUCCGACGGUACAGGGUGAUAGUCCCGUACACCAAAAUGCACAGGUUGUGAACUCGAAGAGUAGGGCGGGACACGUGGUAUCCUGUCUGAAUAUGGGGGGACCAUCCUCCAAGGCUAAAUACUCCUGACUGACCGAUAGUGAACCAGUACCGUGAGGGAAAGGCGAAAAGAACCCCGGCGAGGGGAGUGAAAAAGAACCUGAAACCGUGUACGUACAAGCAGUGGGAGCACCUUCGGGUGUGACUGCGUACCUUUUGUAUAAUGGGUCAGCGACUUAUAUUCUGUAGCAAGGUUAACCGUAUAGGGGAGCCGCAGGGAAACCGAGUCUUAACUGGGCGUUAAGUUGCAGGGUAUAGACCCGAAACCCGGUGAUCUAGCCAUGGGCAGGUUGAAGGUUGGGUAACACUAACUGGAGGACCGAACCGACUAAUGUUGAAAAAUUAGCGGAUGACUUGUGGCUGGGGGUGAAAGGCCAAUCAAACCGGGAGAUAGCUGGUUCUCCCCGAAAGCUAUUUAGGUAGCGCCUCGUGAACUCAUCUUCGGGGGUAGAGCACUGUUUCGGCUAGGGGGUCAUCCCGACUUACCAACCCGAUGCAAACUACGAAUACCGAAGAAUGUUAUCACGGGAGACACACGGCGGGUGCUAACGUCCGUCGUGAAGAGGGAAACAACCCAGACCGCCAGCUAAGGUCCCAAAGUCAUGGUUAAGUGGGAAACGAUGUGGGAAGGCACAGACAGCCAGGAUGUUGGCUUAGAAGCAGCCAUCAUUUAAAGAAAGCGUAAUAGCUCACUGGUCGAGUCGGCCUGCGCGGAAGAUGUAACGGGGCUAAACCAUGCACCGAAGCUGCGGCAGCGACACUAUGUGUUGUUGGGUAGGGGAGCGUUCUGUAAGCCUGCGAAGGUGACCUGUGAGGGUUGCUGGAGGUAUCAGAAGUGCGAAUGCUGACAUAAGUAACGAUAAAGCGGGUGAAAAGCCCGCUCGCCGGAAGACCAAGGGUUCCUGUCCAACGUUAAUCGGGGCAGGGUGAGUCGACCCCUAAGGCGAGGCCGAAAGGCGUAGUCGAUGGGAAACAGGUUAAUAUUCCUGUACUUGGUGUUACUGCGAAGGGGGGACGGAGAAGGCUAUGUUAGCCGGGCGACGGUUGUCCCGGUUUAAGCAUGUAGGCUGAUUAUCCAGGCAAAUCCGGAUAAUCAAGGCUGAGGUGUGAUGACGAGGCACUACGGUGCUGAAGUAACAAAUGCCCUGCUUCCAGGAAAAGCCUCUAAGCAUCAGGUAACAUCAAAUCGUACCCCAAACCGACACAGGUGGUCAGGUAGAGAAUACCAAGGCGCUUGAGAGAACUCGGGUGAAGGAACUAGGCAAAAUGGUGCCGUAACUUCGGGAGAAGGCACGCUGGUGUGUAGGUGAAGCCCCUGCGGGUGGAGCUGAGACCAGUCGAAGAUACCAGCUGGCUGCAACUGUUUAUUAAAAACACAGCACUGUGCAAACACGAAAGUGGACGUAUACGGUGUGACGCCUGCCCGGUGCCGGAAGGUUAAUUGAUGGGGUUAUCCGUAAGGAGAAGCUCUUGAUCGAAGCCCCGGUAAACGGCGGCCGUAACUAUAACGGUCCUAAGGUAGCGAAAUUCCUUGUCGGGUAAGUUCCGACCUGCACGAAUGGCGUAAUGAUGGCCAGGCUGUCUCCACCCGAGACUCAGUGAAAUUGAACUCGCUGUGAAGAUGCAGUGUACCCGCGGCAAGACGGAAAGACCCCGUGAACCUUUACUAUAGCUUGACACUGAACAUUGAGCCUUGAUGUGUAGGAUAGGUGGGAGGCUUUGAAGCGUGGACGCCAGUCUGCGUGGAGCCAACCUUGAAAUACCACCCUUUAAUGUUUGAUGUUCUAACGUUGGCCCCUUACCGGGGUUGCGGACAGUGUCUGGUGGGUAGUUUGACUGGGGCGGUCUCCUCCCAAAGCGUAACGGAGGAGCACGAAGGUUAGCUAAUCCUGGUCGGACAUCAGGAGGUUAGUGCAAUGGCAUAAGCUAGCUUGACUGCGAGCGUGACGGCGCGAGCAGGUGCGAAAGCAGGUCAUAGUGAUCCGGUGGUUCUGAAUGGAAGGGCCAUCGCUCAACGGAUAAAAGGUACUCCGGGGAUAACAGGCUGAUACCGCCCAAGAGUUCAUAUCGACGGCGGUGUUUGGCACCUCGAUGUCGGCUCAUCACAUCCUGGGGCUGAAGUAGGUCCCAAGGGUAUGGCUGUUCGCCAUUUAAAGUGGUACGCGAGCUGGGUUUAGAACGUCGUGAGACAGUUCGGUCCCUAUCUGCCGUGGGCGCUGGAGAAUUGAGGGGGGCUGCUCCUAGUACGAGAGGACCGGAGUGGACGCAUCACUGGUGUUCGGGUUGUCAUGCCAAUGGCACUGCCCGGUAGCUAAAUGCGGAAGAGAUAAGUGCUGAAAGCAUCUAAGCACGAAACUUGCCCCGAGAUGAGUUCUCCCUGAGACUUUAAGUCUCCUGAAGGAACGUUGAAGACGACGACGUUGAUAGGCCGGGUGUGUAAGCGCAGCGAUGCGUUGAGCUAACCGGUACUAAUGAACCGUGAGGCUUAACC
rnacentral:rRNA from 1 species